rnacentral:rRNA from 1 species
UACGAAGGGGGCUAGCGUUGCUCGGAAUCACUGGGCGUAAAAGGCGCGUAGGCGGCCUGGUAAGUAGGGGGUGAAAUCCUGCGGCUUAACCGCAGGGCUGCCUUCUAAACUGUCAGGCUUGAGCACGGUAGAGGCAGAUGGAAUUCCCGGUGUAGCGGUGGAAUGCGUAGAGAUCGGGAAGAACAUCAGUGGCGAAGGCGGUCUGCUGGGCCGUUGCUGACGCUGAGGCGCGACAGCGUGGGGAGCAAACAGG